CCGGGAACCGGGGAAUCCCGGAUUCGGCUGCGGGCGCCCGGGCCUCCGCGACGGUGGCCGUGGCGGAAGAAGAAAGCUUCCUACUAACCGAGUCAGCAGGAACCGGAGCCCACGGAGGCCAAGCCUGCUUUACAGGCUCCUCUUGGCAAGCCUCUUCCGCACUGUGCCCCAGCCAGGGAAGACAGGAAGGCUCCUCUGUCGGUGCUGGCAUUCUGGGCUCCAUGGACCCUGCUACUGACGCGUGUCCACAAGGGUGAACCCCAACGAGGGAAAGAGACCCCCAAGCAUGGCUGAGCUAUACGAGAAUGUGUAGCACACCCCCAGGACCAACCCAUUUUCCAAGAGAGACCCCUAUGAGGAAGAAACGUGUCCACUCUCAGGAUGCUGCUUUUAGCUGUCAUGUACGGAUGUGAAAGUAAGAC